AGCGGGAGGCCUGCAGCCCCCCUGCUUGCCUGCUCUGGGCUCUCUGGGGUCUCACCAGCAGGAGUGCGGGUGGUCAUCCUUGAGCCCCAGCCCCUCAGAGCCCCUGUCUACAUGUGCUUUCACUCCCUCAGCCUGCAAGGGUCAGAUUUGCCAUUGAAAAUGAUAACCUCUACUUUUUUCUUUUGUAUUUUGAUAAACACUGAAGAAGCUGGAGCUGUUAAAUUUAUCUUGGGGAAAUCUCAGAACUGGUUUAUUUGGUGUCGUGGAACCUCUUACUGCUUUCAAUACACAAUUAGUAAUCAACUGUUUUGUAUACUUGUUUUCAGUUUUCAUUUCGACAAGCACUGUAAUUAUAGCUGUUAGAAUAAAG
rnacentral:lncRNA from 1 species